AUCCAUCAAAAACCCAACACUCUAUACUUUUUCAGUCAUUUUCAUCUGCUCAGUCACUUUCAUCUCCUUUACUCAUCUGUAAGUCACUUUCAUCUCCUUUUACUUAUUUGAUUCAUCUUCUCAACUAACUUGGUAAAUUUUUUUCUCAUCUCCUUUCCAUCUCUUUUCAAAAUUUCGGAUUUCAUGCUGAAAUUUUUUGUAGGUUCCAUUAUUGUUCAUUCAAACUUCUAUCAAGAAUUUCUUUAUCAGUUUUUUUUCAUCUACUUUGAAUGUUCUAAUUUCAGAUCUGAAUAUCUCCUACUUUUUUCCCCAAGAACUAAUUUAUCAAUUUUUUUCAUCUACUUUGGUAGUUCCAAUUUCAGAUCCGAUUUUUCAUUUACUCAGUGUAAAAAUCGAUAGUUACUAGUUGUUAAAGGGUAUCAUAAUUUAAGCUCUCUGUUGUCCUACUUUUCACUUGGAAUUUUAGGGUAGAACCUAUUUUAAUCUAAAGAGGAUAUGAUAAUUACUAUGGCUAAUAAAAGCAAUUGAGUAGUAAGUCAUUCAUCAAGUCUUGGUGCUUUCUAUUUUCAUAAAAUAGGAAGUACAAAAAAAAGGAGUAGAAAAAAAUUAAGUUAGGUGAUUAUGGGUGGAUGAAAUGCUUUUUGAUUUGGUUAACGUCGGAAAGUUGCGGAAGAAAGAGAUGUUUUAUUUUUUCUGUAUUUUCCUAUAUUUUUUUUCCCUUUUUAGCCUUUGGAUUCUUUAGCCUAUAAGAAAAUAUAUCAGAUAGAUUUUGAUACCAGAAAAGGUGCUGGUACACAAUCUUCCUUUCAUUAAAAGUAUAAAGAGAAAGGUUAAAUGUAUAGCUCUAAAUAAACAAUACUAAAUACUGUACAUUAAAUGUAUGUAGAGAAUAGAAACAUGGGUUAAAGAAACAAGAAAAAAAAUAGUAUAUAGGAAUGACUGAACAAGAGGGGAAAAAAGGAGUUUCUAGGUAUUACUCCAUCCAUUUUAUUUAAUGUGAUAUUGUUUAUUUAGACCAUCUCUAAAAAACGAUGCAUUUUUUUUGUUAAAAGUUUUACCUUUAAAUUUUCCAUUUUCCAUGGUACUUUUGAUACGGUAAUUUUUUUUAAAAUUUCAUACUGAAUCAUAUACAAAUGGUUAUCGUUCAUUGAAAAAGAAAAGAUAUUUCCUUUCUUCCAAUUAACGUGAUCCUAUAUCAUUUUUGGUACGUUAAAAUAGAAAUGAUCCCUUUUUAAAUUUAAAAAUAAUUUAAUGUAAACUUCUCAUUUUAGCUUUUCUUUGACCAAUAAUCAGCAAAGCGGCUAAUAAUUUUUAAGUACAUUUAAUGUUUGUAGCAUUACAUGAACUAAUCUUGAAUUACAUGGAAAGUGAAUGCUCAAUAUGUUUGGGAUCCUAUGAAGACAAGAAAUUGUUAAAGUUAUGCCUAAAUGUUAUCACAGAUUUCAUUCUCCAUGCCUUGAUAAGUGACUUGGUAAUCUUUAAAUUUGUCCCCUUUGAAGAUCUUCUAUUGAUUCUUCUACUAGCAUUUUAAGCUGUCCGAAUUGAUACUCAUCUACCUAAGUUAUGCAUGCAGAUACAAAUUUCAUCUCUAUUAUAUAGGAAUUGAUUCAAACAAUGACGAUAUUAAGAUAUAAACAAUAUAUUUACUCUUGUAAUUUUGAAUAUUAUCUAUCUUUUUCUGUUUGUGGUUGCCUAUUAUUGAUACUUUUCUAUAUUUAUUUUAUUUUCCUUAUAGGACUCACUCUCUGUUGUGAUAGCUGCGUGUUCGCGCGUUUUAGUAGCAAAUCACUGUGUGAUAAGUACUGCUCUUCUACUAGAUUUAUUUAUUUUUAAUAUUUUUCUCUUACCUUCUUCGUAUUAAGGAGGAGGUGUUGACCAGAACAUCUAAAGUUUUUGAUUUUGAAAAUAGCAUUCCCUCUCUAUCUUAGGCGUUUGUCAUUUAUUUUUUUUUAUUAUUGUUUUUGAUGAGUAAAGAAUUUACUCAUUUUAUUCAUUUCAGGCCAUCUCAUCAUACUUUAACUCUUUUCAACUAAAAGGUAAUCUAUUCUAUUCAGAAUCAGAUAUGAAAUUUAUAUCAUUAUCGGAGUUGCUUUUGUUUGUGAUAUAUGUCAGUAUGAUUAAACUUACAUUACUCAUAAGCAUAUCAUUAUAUGUAGCUAAAAUUUUAGUGUUUUCCUUUUUAAGCCUUAGUAAUAAGAAAAAUAUCUUGGCAAUAGAUAAACUGCCUUAAUGGCAAAUAGAAACCAUGAAAAUGACCAGAUCUUUGGAAAAUCACAUGCUGACAAAAGGGCUAGGAGACGCGAAUUAUAUAGACUGAUGCCACCUGAUAAAAAAGAGGCCCUUUUGGCACGACGGCGUGCAAACAGAGCUGAAUUAAAAAGACGACGGUCUACUGAAUCUUCAAUUAGUAUUGAUGCAGCUAACGCAUCAACCUCUAAUGCUGUCAAUGUUUCUACCAACCAAAGUUCUCUUAUUAUAAAAGAUCCAUUGGCUUUUUUAAGGAAAAGAACAGGUAUGACUAAAAAUUAAGGUUUGUUUAAACUACAUCUACUCAGAACAGUAGUGAUUACCUUUUUUUUUUUGGGUUAAUAAUCUACUCAAUACUAGAGUUUUCAUAUGCAAGGAAUGUUUUCACAGAACCUGGUUGUUCAAGUAGUAUGCAAGCAGAAAAUACUUAUGUUAAAUUAAAAGAAGUACCGAAAUGCCAAUUUUGUGGAGCAAAAAAAAUUUGAAUAUGAACCACCUGCAUUCUGUUGUGGUAACGGUUCUAUUCAACUAAUUUCACAUGAAAUGCCAACAGAGUUAAGAAACCUUUAUUUGGGAAAUAGUGAGGAAUCAAAACAUUUUCGAACUUACACUAGAACAUACAAUAACAUAUUUGCGUUCACAUCCCUUGGUGUUUCUUAUGAUAAAGAGCUAGCAAAAAGAAAUAAUGGUAUCUAUACAUUCCGUGUUCAAGGGCAAAUAUAUCAUAGAAAGUGCAAAUAAGAGGACACCUUCUUGAUAAUUCAUGGGUUGUUCCUUAUAAUCCAUAUUUACUUUAUAAGUUCAACUCUCAUAUGAAUGUAGAGAUUUGCUCUGAUAUUAAAGUUGUUAAGUAUAUUUAUAAGUAUAUUUGCAAAGGACAUGAUAAAAUUGCAUUUCAUAUACAUGCUAAUAAUACAAACAUAGAGAUAGAUGAAAUAAAGGAAUACCAAUCUGCUAGGUGGGUGUCACCACUUGAGGCUGCAUGGCGUAUAUUUGCUUUCCCUAUUAGUGAAAUAUUUCCGAAUUAUAUCAUCUUCAACUACAUCUUGAUGGACAACAACUUGUUUCCUUCAAGAAUACGGACAAUAUUAGUAAAAUUGUGAACAAUCCUAUGGUUAAAAAAACAAUGUUAACUGAGUUUUUUUAAUGAAUCGAGAAAACAAAGGUGCUAUGGACUUAAAUUUAUUAUAUCGAGAAUUUCCAGAAUACUUUGUAUGGUCAACAACAGAUAAAACAUGGAUACGUCGUCAACGGGGAAGUGCUAUUGGUCUCUUUUUUUUGCCAACAGAUAUAUGAAAGAUAUAUGUUAGCCUCUUUUUUUUUUUUUUGCAAAAAGAUAUAUGUUAGCCUCAAUUGAGGAGGAAAUGACUGCUUCUGGUAAAAGGACCUCUAUAUGCUGCUAAAGUUCUGAGAUUAUUCUAAUGUUAACCUUUAACUUUAGAUGCCGAGAAUUUGUAUCUUCGUCUCAAAUAAGAAGACAUGACUAUUUCCCUCUUUUAACAAAAAAAUAACUGGGACAUGGCUUAUUCUACUAUAUAAGAAUCUCUAUUUCUUCCUAAGUUGCGAGAAUUUUCUAAUUCCUUAUAUUUUGUCGUAGCCUCAGUUGGAAAUUAGAAGUAGUUCUACAUUCUUUUUCGCGUAAAAUCUAAUGCUACAUUGAUAUAUCCUGAGCUAGGAGUCAUCGUGGCAAUUUAUUUCAGGUGUUCCUUCAGUUUGGAGAUUCUAUUAGCCGAUCAUGUUUUGCAAAUUAUGUUAGAUUUCUCAUAAGCCGCUCAAAAUAGUUCACCACAAGAGGGGUAAAAGCUUUAUUAAAUUUUUGUGAAUUGUGCAUAUUGUUCCAAUAGCAGGUAGAUCGAUCACCUUCUACUUAUAUAAUGUUAUUGCUCUAUGUCAACUACAUUUUAUCUCCUUUCAGAAAGUGUGAGUUCAAAAUAAAUUACUUUCAAUAGUUGUCGAAGAAGAUACAUAAGGAGUUGCUAAUUUUUUUCUUGUCUGUGGAAUAUCAAGUGUUUUGGGAAGUGAGGGAGCACCGUUGUUUCUAAAUGCUGCUUUAUUCUUGGAGCGUUGAUCUUUCUUUAGCCUUUCUGGUUCUUUAAAUUGUAUCUAUAGAAUUAUUGAUAAACUUCGAUUCAUGACUAUUUCAAUUUGCAUUACACUUGUUUCAUGUUUCACAUAUCCAAUUCUCUGGCAAAGUUAUGACUAGGGAUAAGUUUUCCAACACAUUGUAUGAUCGUGCAUUAAUUUAUGCUGUAUGAGAGCAUUCAUACAAUUUUAACUGUGCUGAGAAGCCCUUUUGGAAUAGGAUUAAUGCACUAAAAGAAAAAUAUUAUUUCUACCAGAUGACCAAAUAAUAUCCUUAUCAACUAUUGUAAUGGCUUAAAUAGGUGGCCAUUGAUGCAUUUAAUAUUGGUGUGCAGGUUGGAUGGAGUAGGAUGUGAGCUUUGUCUCUUAUUAGCUCUGUGAGUGCUGUCUCUUUAUCAGCGCACAUUUACACAAGGAAACCUCACAUUUGUUAAAGUUCAACUCUUGAAAAUAAAUUGUAUCUCUUGUAAGUCUCCCAUAAGUAAAGAUAUAUAUUUGUUUGUUCGUGUUUGAUGAUCAAUCGUUUCAAGAAUUCUGUGACAUGGUCUUUUGUUCACCUUAAUCUUUUGCAUGAUGGAGAAUCGUUCUAACAAUCCAAUGACACUUUUAUGUAUUGUACUGUUUUAUCAUAUCUGAAUUUACAUGGCUACA
rnacentral:lncRNA from 1 species